CGGGUGAGUAACGCGUGGAUAACCUGCCUUACACUGGGGGAUAACACUUAGAAAUAGGUGCUAAUACCGCAUAAGCGCACAGAGCCGCAUGGCUCAGUGUGAAAAACUCCGGUGGUGUAAGAUGGAUCCGCGUCUGAUUAGCUGGUUGGCGGGGUAGAAGCCCACCAAGGCGACGAUCAGUAGCCGGCCUGAGAGGGUGAACGGCCACAUUGGGACUGAGACACGGCCCAAACUCCUACGGGAGGCAGCAG
rnacentral:rRNA from 1 species